rnacentral:rRNA from 1 species
UACGUAGGCAGCAAGCGUUGUUCGGAGUUACUGGGCGUAAAGGGUGUGUAGGCGGUUAUUUAAGUUUGGUGUGAAAUCUCCCGGCUCAACCGGGAGGGUGCGCCGAAUACUGAAUGACUUGGAGUGCGGGAGAGGAAAGUGGAACUCCUGGUGUAGCGGUGAAAUGCGUAGAUAUCAGGAGGAACACCGGUGGUGUAGACGGCUUUCUGGACCGUAACUGACGCUGAGACACGAAAGCGUGGGUAGCAAACAGG